GGCUACAGGUGCAUCAACU
rnacentral:misc_RNA from 1 species